CUCGACAGUUUCCACGAACUUUCAAAUCCGGAGAAAAUUAUAGUUUAAUUAGAAGACACGGCACGUUUCUUUAUUUCCGUUUUGUCGCCCGUCUAUGGCGUCAUAUAACCUUUGACCUCUCUAGUUUCUCUAACUUCCUGCGGAACACGGCGGAACCGCCAAAUACAAAGGUGAACACAGAGCCAACAGAAGCAAAGAACAGACGAAGAAACAAGACAAAGGUAAAUAUUGGAGUUGCAUUUCCAAGAUGGAGAGAGCUUCGUGACAAGCUGAAUCUACAAAGAGAUGCCGAACUCGCUUGCAUUCUAAUAAACAGGUAUGCAUCCAUUCAGUUUUAUUAGGUAACGUUGCUUCGCGGCAAUUUCAUUAGAAUGGCAUUUCAUGAAGUGAAUAGCCAUAACUAAACGUAACAAGAAUAGAAAUAUAAUACAAAUAACAAUACAUUACCUCGUCAGUGAACAUGUUUUCUGCUGGAGAUGCUAGAUGGCUGGUUGUCAUUGACAGUAACAACAACUCCCAUGAGCCCACGCUCUUUCCCGACGUCAUCAGAGUACGUCUUUUGUUAUUAUUUUGAUUGAGUGACCCCUGGUGGCCAAAAAUUCCAUACUGUACGUUUAAAGGGUUCAUAUGAUGUUGCUAAAAAGAACAUUAUUUUGUGUAUUUUGGUGUAAUGAAAUGGGUUUAUGCGGUUUAAAGGUGCUGUAUCUAAGAUUUUGACUCUAUUAAAGCAUAAAAAUGCCAUAAUAUGUUCGCAGAUAUUUAAGAAACAUGCUAAGUUAACAUACUUGUUUAUUUGAAAAACAGUGCUACAGUCAGUUAUUCUCCUCUGAAAAUGUGCGUUUAGGGUGGGAACGUUGGUCUUUGUUGUAUUUGUAUACAAUUGUAUUUCGGCACUCUGGGUUGCCAGUUUGGCGAAAAACACAGCGGAAUUAGUUUUAUUCAUUAUCAAGUGCACUCGUUCCUGUUUGUGUCAUCAAUCUGGCAACCUGCGUGUGUGUCAAGUCUGAGGAGAAGGGAAAAAACCCUCUCCAAUAUUUUGAAUUUGGACUGCAAUAGUUCAACCCCUCGGUGUCAAUCCUAUAUACGGCACCUUUAAGUUUAAAAAAACUGUUUCUCCUUUAUGCCCUGCCUUUCUGAAAUGUGACGUUUUUUUACAAAGCUUAUCGUUCUGAAAAGUGAGGUGUGCUCUGAUUGGCCAGUUAUCCAGUGUGUUGUGAUUGGCCGAAUACCUCAAGCAUGUGACGGAAAUGUUACAUCCCUGUGUUUUCCAGAGUGCCAAGACAAAAACAUUAAAAACAGAGGUGGAAAGUCCAGGGGUCAGAAAGUAAAAGUCCGGCCAUA
ensembl:lncRNA